GAUGAACGCUGGCGGCGUGCCUAAUACAUGCAAGUCGAGCGAACAGACGAGGAGCUUGCUCCUCUGACGUUAGCGGCGGACGGGUGAGUAACACGUGGAUAACCUACAUAUAAGAAUGGGAUAAGUUAGGGAAACCGGAGCUAAUACAGGAUAACAUGGUGAACCGCAUGGUUCAACAGUGAAAGACGGUCUUGCUGUCACUUAUAGAUGGAUCCGCGCCGCAUUAGCUAGUUGGUAAGGUAACGGCUUACCAAGGCAACGAUGCGUAGCCGACCUGAGAGGGUGAUCGGCCACACUGGAACUGAGACACGGUCCAGACUCCUACGGGAGGCAGCAGUAGGGAAUCUUCCGCAAUGGGCGAAAGCCUGACGGAGCAACGCCGCGUGAGUGAAGAAGGUCUUCGGAUCGUAAAACUCUGUUAUUAGGGAAGAACAAAUGUGUAAGUAACUAUGCACGUCUUGACGGUACCUAAUCAGAAAGCCACGGCUAACUACGUG
rnacentral:rRNA from 1 species